CCCUUAGAUGUUCUGGGCUGCACGCGCGCUACACUGAUUAUUUCAACAAGUGUUUUAACUGGAGAGUUUGCGUAAUCCUGAAAUGUUAUCGUGAUGGGAGUAGAGUAUUGUAUUUGUUAAUCUUUAACGAGGAAUUCCUAGUAAGUGUAGGUUUAUAAGUUGUUCUGAUUACGUCCCUGCCCUUUGUACACACCGCCCGUCGCUCCUACCGAUUGAUUGAUCCGGUGAAUUACAUAGAAUUUUGCGUUUUACAUGACGGAAGACGAAGUGUUUUAAACCUUAUCAUUUAGAGGAAGGAGAAGUCGUAACA
rnacentral:rRNA from 1 species